UUUUAAUUUUUAACAAUUUAAGAAAUCAGCAUCACUUAAACGUUACAUUAUUAUUAUUUUUUGUCCUCCUUAUUCAAACGCUGCACGUCGUGUCGCCGCUCAAAUUAUGCUCCGCUACUCUUCCUUUACCAAAAGUUAAGAGUGCAAUAUCUCGCCAGUGGGUUUACGGAAAUCGAAAAUGUCAACACCAAAAUGUAUUUGAACUAAUACCUGUUUAUGGAAUUUUAAGACUCUAUUAGAUAGAUACAUUUUAAAAUCACAAGUAGGUGCUCGUUUCACUCCAAAAAAUAAGCGUGACCAAAAGUAAUAUCAAUUUA